CGAUGGUGAUGCAAGGAACAUGAUUUAGACAGGUUCAGGCCGCUAGAUCGUGUAAUACCGUAUGUCCUGUGUGUUGGUUGUAUUGAACUUGUGUUGAGUUGCGCUUGUUGUUUGGAGGGGGUCCCUGGUCGCCCUCAUAUAGUCGAGGGAGUAGGGUUACAGGGUAGGAGUCCUAGUCGAGUACAUUACAGAGUCCUACUCUAACUCAGUAGAGUAGUUUCCUUUGGACCCGACUAGUCUUCGGGGGGUCCAUGAAGCCUACGCGUCCUGUAGAGUAGUCUUCAUGUCCGAGCAGGUUUUGGGUACGUUCCCUUGAGAGGUUCCGUGCAAGUCUUCUGGUGGGCCCGAGGAUGCCUAGCCAAUAAGCCCCCGAGUACUUUGUAGUCGAGAGGAACAGGUCCGAGUACUUGAAGAAUGUCGCCCGAGUCUCCUGGUGCUCCUCGAGUACUUCUUGUUGCGGCCAAUUUUUGAGUACUGGAGCUGUCCGUGACUCGAAGGUACUCUUAGCAGUUCCCGAUGUUUGCUUCGAGUAACUUUUGUCUUGAAACUUUUUAUAUGGUAGUGCGAUGACAAUCACACUCCUUAUGGAGUAGCCCCCAAGCCUUAGGUUGAAUUGAAGAAUCAGGCUGAGGGUCAAACUUGUAAUUUUGCUUCGACUUAUCUUAGUCUUCAGAAAAGAAAACUUUACCCAACGGGUACGGUAUACGCAGCCCCCGAGCACUUGGGCGACUUUGGUGAAGGGAUCAAUGUCUUUGUCAGAGUAGCCGUUGGACACUAUCUGGUGGUAAAUCUGCGUCAUAUCUAGUCGUUGCUUGAUUAACGGGUGGAUCCUGGAAAUGUUACUGAUAAAAUAGGGGGGGGGGGGCCAGUGCUAAUUCUUGGCAUGCCUCUUUUAGCAGAUUUCCAAUUUGCGCCCUUUUGCAACCCUAGCGCCGCUGCUUCUAUUUGCGUCGCCGCUGCUAUUGUUGCCUCACCCGAGCUUUGAAAAGAAAUUGUUGCGACCUUUUUCACCCCCUUUUUUUCCUCAAGAUUAGUUGAUGUGCACCAAGAAGAUGGGCAAGAAACCUGAGAAGAUCCAGGAGGAGGCCACAACCACUAGCAAGAGGAGAUCUAGAUCCAAGAAGGGUAAAAAGCCUGAGUUGCCGGUGCCCAAGUAUGGCCCGUCGAACCAGACUGCGCCGCCACCUCCUGGGGCCACCUGGCAGCAUUCUGUGAUGAAGGAGUCGACGGUUCAAGCCUUGGUUGAUGCGAAGCUGCUCCAACCGAAGGUGGAGCUUGAGUGGAGGCCCGCAUAUGGAAAUGCGUGGCAAUUCGAAGAACACCCUAGGGAGAUAGUGAUGCUGGCUCACUUUGUCGAGAGAGGCCUGGUGGUGCCUACCUCUGACUUCUUCAGAGGUAUUCUCGAGUAUUAUAAUCUUUAGCUAGUCUAUUUGAAUCCGAAUAGUGUGCUGCAUAUGGCUAUCUUUGUACACUUGGGCGAAGUGUACCUGAGUACUCUGCCUAGUCUGGACUUGUUUAGUUAGUUGUUUCGGUGUAAGCCACAACCCAGUGGGACUAGGACAGAAGUCUUUGGAGGAGCUGGGUUUCAAUUGAGAAACUCGGGUGCGUAUCUUGAGUACGACCUGCCUGAUUCCCAUGGCGAUUGGAAAAAGAGAUGGGAACCAUGAUCCUAUCUUGCCAGUAGCCAUCGGCCAUGCUUCGAAACAUGCGGACAAUUGGGUAAUGGAGCCUGAGGAUACCUGUGAGAUCACCGACUUGUUGGCGCAGAUUGCUGAGUUGCAAACUUUAGGGUUGACUGGGAUCCAUGUAGCCACCAGCUUCGUCAAGCGUAGAGUACAGCCCCUGCAAGCAGCGUGCUCAUUUGGGCUUUGAGUACACAGGUUUUGAUGACCCGUCGCAUAUGUCUCCUGAAGACGUAUCCGACAACGAUGUGGAGGCAUUCUUGGGUAAGUUCUUUAAGAACUAUCGACGAGUGCCAGUACUCCUAGGAGUCCUCCGACACUUCGACGGUUGGUAUGAAUCAGCAGAGUCCCGGGUGCUGGCUGGUUUCACACCUUCCGAGGAUAAGGAGGUAGCCGAGGAUAAAACUGAAGAUGCGCCUUCCUCUCCUCCGGCUAAGAAACGUAGAGUAGUGCGGAAAAAACCCGCUACUCAGCAUGCUGCGACUGCUUCAGACUUGAACCCCAAAGAGUCGCAAGGUACCAAGGCUACUUCUGUUGAAGUAGUCACGAUUGCCAGAGAUGUGGCUGCAGGUGUUGAGGCCGUUGAAGAGCUGCUCGUGGAGGAGGCACCAUCAAACUUAGGGUCAGCAGCCCCCGAGCAGGUAGCCCCUGAGCCGAUAGCCCCUGAGCUGGGAGCCUCCGAGCUGGGAGCCCUCGGGCAGGCUACUAACCCAAUAGGUGAUGAGGCUACGGCUUCGGUGAGCAAGGUCUUAGAGCCAUCGGCCGAUGGAGUGGCGAACGCUUUGAAGACACCAGAAGUAACUGCUAACGCCUCGUUGCCCGAGGAUGUUACUGGCAGUGAGUACACGAUCUAUACUGGUAGUCAUGCGUACGUAAUCUCAACCUUGGUUCUUUCUGGACUUGGUGAGAAUGUGGAGAACUUUUCUCCCAUGGCCUCUGUGGAGCCAGCACCGAGUGACCAGCCGGUGGUAGUUGAAAAGAGGCGUGUUCGUCCGCCAUUGCGAUCAGCCCGGGAUGCCGAAGACAUUAUUCCCGUCGAGGUGUAGGAGGAGGUUGAGGCUGGUCUGUCGACUACAGUUCCUCAGCCCGUAGUCGACUUGACUAUGGAUGAUGCACCUGAGAUCGACGACGCAAGUCUCAUGGGUGCUACCAUAACUAUGCUACAGGAGGUCAUUCGCUCAGUGGAGGACCUUACAGUUCCCGAGAGUUUUGGAGGUGUGCCGCCUACAACGGCUGAAGUUGCGUCGACUGUGAGCAUGACUGGUGCUGAUGCCCUAGCACUAGUUGUUACAACAGGAGUAGGCGAAGCCGGCGCAACAGGAUCUGUUAUGAGUAAUGUGUUCGGAGCCUCAAGUCGUCAAGAGCACUAGGGGUCCGGUACUCAAGCUGCCACCAGAGUCGGAGAUCAAGAGAGCUAUCCAGAGCUUUUAGGAUCUGUAUGAUAAGGCCCAGAAAAAUACUCGGGCUCUUUAGGAGCGCAGUGAAGCUGUACAGCGGGUAGCGCAAUUGGAGCAAGAGUGUCGCCGCCUUACGGAUUCCUUGAGAGUUCAUGAGGAGGCCGCAAAGUCCUUUGCGAUUGAGAGGAGCGAUCAUGAAGUCCUUCAGGAGCGACUAGAGAAUCGUUAUAGAUCUUUGAAUCAGAGAUAUCAGGAGCUCAAAGGCAAGGAGGCCGCUGCGAGUAGCCAACUGCUUGACUAAAGAAAUGCUCACGACCGGGUAGCCGAUGAGGCUGUCUGCCUUAGGGCAUCACUGGCUGAAACUCAGGCGGCUUAUGAGCGCGAGAAGGAGAGAAAACAUCGGAUGGGAGUGAUGCUGGUGUUGGCUAUGAUGUCCUGUAGAGGUCAUGCUAGAACUCUGGAGAAGCUAAAGGGUGUUCUCCAAGAGUUCACUAGUGUUGCUCAGUACGCAGUCAACGCUAUUGCUCCACUUGAAGAUGAUGUUGAGCCUUGCUCGUUGGUCGAGAGACUAAGAGCUGCGCUGGAUAGAUUUGCUAAACUGUGCAAAACUGUCUGCAAGCAAGUCCUCGCAGUUGUCAAGUCGUAAUACCCGAGGGCAAACUUGUUGGCGGCUGGAGAUGGUAUUGCCCGAAACUGCACAGAGGACGCCUAUGCAUAGUAUCUUGAAGAGGCUGAGCCCAUUGCAGCGAGGAUGACCGAGUUCAUAUCUUUGGAGGAACCCUAGUCAUUUGAAAUCGUGUUGUAUUUUUUGCUGAAUACUUGUAGAUGUACUUGAACAAUUGUCUUGCAAAUCUUGCUUUGUCGAUAAAUUUAAAUUCUGACGUGAUUGAUGAUCUUCCC